rnacentral:rRNA from 1 species
GCCCUUGAGUUUGAUCCUGGCUCAGGAUGAACGCUGGCGGCGUGCUUAACACAUGCAAGUCGAACGAACCUUCGGGUUAGUGGCGGACGGGUGAGUAACGCGUGAGAAUCUGCCCUCAGGAGGGGGAUAACGGUUGGAAACGACCGCUAAUACCCCAUAUGCCGCGAGGUGAAAUGAAUUUCGCCUGAGGAUGAGCUCGCGUCUGAUUAGCUAGUUGGUGGGGUAAAGGCCUACCAAGGCAUCGAUCAGUAGCUGGUCUGAGAGGAUGAUCAGCCACACUGGGACUGAGACACGGCCCAGACUCCUACGGGAGGCAGCAGUGGGGAAUUUUCCGCAAUGGGCGAAAGCCUGACGGAGCAACGCCGCGUGAGGGAUGAAGGCCUCUGGGCUGUAAACCUCUUUUAUCAAGGAAGAAGAUCUGACGGUACUUGAUGAAUAAGCCACGGCUAAUUCCGUGCCAGCAGCCGUGGUAAUACGGGAGUGGCAAGCGUUAUCCGGAAUUAUUGGGCGUAAAGCGUCCGCAGGCGGCCCUUCAAGUCUGCUGUUAAAAAGUGGAGCUUAACUCCAUCAUGGCAGUGGAAACUGUUGGGCUUGAGUGUGGUAGGGGCAGAGGGAAUUCCCGGUGUAGCGGUG